CCUACAUGAAAAGAGACUCCCCAGUAAAAUACAGUUGAAAACAAGAGAAAAUUCUGACCUAUAAAAUAUUGAAUAUAAUACAGACGUAUCAUAAAAACAAUCCUUUAAAUAACUAGUUUUCAACUGUGACUUAUGAAGAGCUGGCAUUUUGAAUCUUUGACAUGCCAUGCGCCGCAAUAAAAGCAAAUGCAUUUCAAUAAUUAAUAAAAUGCUCUAAUGAGAAUGAAGCAUUGCAAUACAUUUACUUAUUACACAAUGUGUAAAUCUGAGUACUUUAUUUCAGAAAUUCUGAAUCUGUAAUCAGAUAAAUUUGACAUAGAACAUAUCGGAACAUAUGGCAUAGCAAGAUGGCAGAAUAGGAGGCUCCCUACCCACACUUUCUACAGUAACAAAAAUGCAGCAGUUAAGCCCUGACAAAACAACCUUUACGGCAACUUUGGAAUCCAUGUGUAAGACUGCGAACCGAAGACUGAGGAGGGCUGUAUUGAGAGGGUGUGCCCUUGCUUGAGUGGCAUGCUUGCCCACAAUACAGAAUGAAAUGUAAUUAAUUCUCAUUGUAAACAUAGCUAUCAUUUGGUUUUGUUUAUGCCACUAGCACCAUCUGCCAAGACACUUAGGAGGAUUCAUAAUGUCCUGUGUCUCAGGUGAAAGGCCUUUAGAUGUUGCUUCUGUCUGUGAUCUCUGAAUUACCCCAAACUGCACCCCUUGCACAUGUCAGUCAUGAUGUGGAAGAAAUCCUACUCACACAGGGACCCACAGACAGAAAUAUCCAUCUCUGCCCCUGGAUGUAGGCUUGCCAAUAUUUAUUUGAUGGUGGAUCUUGACGUGGCACUACAACUUGGCUCCAAGUCCAUGCAACCAAAAUCCAGGAGGAGUUUUUCCUGACCUGUGACCUGCCCAAAAGCACAGCUACAUGUGUCCCUGUAGGCAUGCUGGCUGACUUUAUUCCCACCGUGAAUUGUGAAGCAGUCCUAUAACCAAGCUCCAGUCCCUGGCAGCUAGAGGCAGGGAGAAGUCCUGCCCACCUAGAAAUCUGGAGGGAGAAAUGUCAUGAACCCAGAACAAACCUGAAGACUUUGGUCUCAGCUGUGUAUCCUGAAGCAGCCCUAUGAAUUAGUUUCACACCCUCUCAGCUGUGAUCAACGCUCAGUAACGGUCAUCUAGAAACCUGUCCAAUGACUAGGUUAGAGCAUUUCCAAACAUCUCGCAAGAGCCAAACAGCAGGAGCCACACCUACUCAUAUUUAUUGUAUCAGCAUCUCCAUUUGCAGAUAUUAACUGGGUUUUUUUUUUCUCAGCACCAGUCUUAUUGAUCAAGAUCUUAAAGAAAGUUCAGUCUCCUCAGAAAAUGGAAUCCUCAACUGUCUGAUGCUUAAAUAACAGGUCUGCCAAGCAUUAACUUCACUGUAGACCCAGUAGUAGUUACGUGACCAGGAUCCAAUGCAGUUGACUGUGAUCCUAGUGAAAAUCUCAUCAGCCCAGAAAACCAAUAGAAGAUAUUUACCUCCCUAAACUAGUCUGUAAUGACUGAAAGAAGUAUUUACUCCUUCAGAUGCAAGAACAUCAAAACAAGGCUUCACAGAUUAUGAAGGAUCAGGCAAACCUAACAGCACAAAAAGAAACUAAAAAUGCUCCAGGAACAACUAACAAUAAAACACAGAUCUAGAAAAUGUCUAACAGAGAAUUCAAAGUAAUUAUCUUAAAAAAUCUCAAUAAGAGUCCAGGCGAGGAGGCUCACACCUGUAAUCCCAGCACUUUGGGAGGCCGAGGCGGAU
rnacentral:lncRNA from 10 species